GGGCCCGCACAAGCGGUGGAGCAUGUGGUUUAAUUCGAUGCAACGCGAAGAACCUUACCAGAAUUUGACAUGCUACCACUUAUUAAGUGGGUGUCGGCGAAAGCCGCUUUAAUGCACAGGUGGUGCAUGGCUGUCGUCAGCUCGUGUCGUGAGAUGUUGGGUUAAGUCCCGCAACGAGCGCAACCCUUAUCUCUUGUUAUAUAUUAGCUACAACUAGAGAAACUGCCGAUGACAAGUCGGAGGAAGGUGAGGACGACGUCAAGUCAGCAUGCCCCUUAUGUUCUGGGCGACACACGUGCUACAAUGGUUAGAACAAUACGUAACCACCUUGUAAAAGGGAGUUCAAUCGCUCAAAUCUAGCCUUAGUUCGGAUUAGUCUCUGCAACUCGAGAUUAUGAAGAUGGAAUCGCUAGUAAUCG
rnacentral:rRNA from 1 species